rnacentral:rRNA from 1 species
AUUGAACGCUGGCGGCAGGCCUAACACAUGCAAGUCGAGCGGAGCGGCGGACGGGUGAGUAAUGCCUAGGAAUCUGCCUGGUAGUGGGGGAUAACGUCAGGAAACGGGAGCUAAUACCGCAUCCUCUCAGAUGAGCCUAGGUCGGAUGGGCUAGUUGGUUGGGUAAGGGCCUACGAAGGCGACGAUCCGUAACUGGUCUGAGGGGAUGAUCAGUCACACUGGAACUGAGGAAGGGGCCAGAGUCCUACGUGAGGCGGCAGUGGGGAAUAUGGGACAAUGGGCGAAAGCCGGAUCCAGCCAUGCGGGGUGUGUGAAGAAGGUCGUAGGAUUGUAAAGCACAUUAAUUUGGGAGGCGGUACCAACAGAAUAAGCACCGGCUAACUUCGUGCCAGCAGCCGCGGUAAUAC